ACGACCUCCUCCUCCCGCGCGGUUUGCCUUCCGCAGCGGCGCUCUUCGCCGCAGCCUCGUGCCGAGCCACGGCAAGCCGCGCCCUUCACCGCCGCCUCGCGCCGCCGGAGCCACAGGUCGCCGGGAGCCUCCCAGCAGCUGGAGCCCGCCCCCGCCGCGGUUCGCCGCCUCCGGAGCCGCAGCUUGGCCGCCGCCACUCCGCCUCCACCACGCCGCCACUCCGCCGGAGUCGCCAGUAAGUUUCUAUUACUGAACUCAUCUAUACUGAGACCAAGCAAACCAAUUUUGUAGCCGUGGGAGCCACCCGUCGCGCCUUCCGCCGCGGGAGCCGCCGUGCCCUUCGCCGCGGGGGAGCCGCCGCGCCCUUCGCUGCCCGAGCCGCUCAGCUUGGCCUCCGCCGCAGGGACAGCUUGCCCUCAUGCCACCCAACACGGUCUGCAGUCCGUCACAACCCGAUAACUCACGCCAUACACUACAGGGUGGUCACCAACAUGAAUCUGAGGCGCUGUCAUUAUGCACGGUUAUGGAUAAACGGCGACUGUUUUGGAUAAUCUGGUCUAAGAGCUUCUUGAGAAAAAAAAUCAUAAUCACGCAGUUUGGCAACAACAAUGCUGAGAUUAAGUUCAGCAAGGGAGCUGAACAACCUUUUACAGUGUCCACUCUCACAAAUACUCUGGCCUGGUAAACAACAAGGUAGCCAGCUGCUAAUAAAGACAAGCCCAUGAGGAGAAAUGGAUAUAAUGUUAACUCAUGUUCAACUGUUUUGCCUUUUCCCCUGAAGCUUUGCAACUGCGAGGCUCCAGUUUCUGUUGAUCUUAAUGUAAGACCAGGAGAUGAAGUGAUGGAGAUGAAUUUAGCAUUUUAACAAAUCAAGCGGUCAAGCCACCAAAUCAUGAUCCUGUAAUGUUGCAGUACAACUUCGAAAGGAUGAGAUACUUUUGGUUGCAUGCUUAACGACAACUAUUUGGUACCACUCAAACUGGACACCGAAGCAAUUUUGAACUCAUGUCAAACAUGUUUGUUGUUUCCUGCAAUUUUUUCCUUUUAUUUCUGCACGAACUCCUCAGUAUGUACUUCCUGUUGCUAUAUAGUUUUUCCAUAUGCAAUCUGUGGACCAUCACACUCUGAAGUACAGUCGAUGGCUCUAUAUUUUUUAACUUGUCAGCUACCUUUAAAGCAAAUGUGACGAUGAAAACUUAGCAUCAAUGCACUUUUCUAUAUAUUAUGUUCUGACUACCCUACUCAAUUGCUAAGCCAGCGAGGAUAAAAGCUUGCCUUGCCUUUUGCCUUUUUGUGUGUGCUGGUAAGAACCCGGUUGUUAUCCUCUUCUCAUGGCCUUGUUAAGUACAGUCUUUGCUUAAAAAGCCACAUAUAUAUUAUGAUUCAUAAUAGCAUUGCAGCCUUGUAGGCAAAGGUUUGGAACACGCGGCGAUCAAAAUUUAUACAACAGGUUUCAGUAUAGUAUUCUGAGGAACACUAAAUGGUCUAACGUGGUGACCUCAGAUUCGUUUGUUGUUUCAUAUGCUGUAGUUUUUUGCUUCACAUGGAAAAGGGGCUAAGUUUGGUGGGCUUUGUAUAUUUCUCAUCACUUUGUGUUGAAUUUUUUGCAGUCCUUAUUUGCCAGCGUUAAGGUCAAUCGUAGUGCUAGCGCUUAGUGCUCUCUGUUCAAUUCUGGGGUGGCACGUGGCAGACCAAGCAUUGACAGAGCUUGUCAUUUUAUGAAUCUCAGGUAAUAUGAUUCUUCUAUGUAGCGAUGCAUCGGCUUUUAGUAAUCUUCAAAGUGAAUGAUAAUUUAUUGUUCUAUUUCCAAGAAUGGGAAUUUUAGUUGCAAAUGAUUUUUACUAAAUAUUUAAACUUGUUCGCAAGUACAUGUUUAUCUUAGUUUACAAGUAAACAAGCAAAACUGUUUUUUUAGAAAUAAACCUUUUCCUCUUAUUUUUGACACGAUCUCUGUUGAUGCAGGCUGUCAUUUUACUAAUUUGAAAAGGUUGGCCACUGAGAACUUCAUUUAUGCACACAGACCAUCCAUGGAUUAGAUAGGAUGUACGAUGCAGUGGCUACAUCGACCGCCCCGAGCUUGCCGAUGACUCCGGCCGGGCAGAUGAUGCCUUUGUGCGACAUUGCACCGAUGUCGUACACACACUCCAAAACUGACAUAAUAAUUUGACCAUGUGUGCAUUUUCAAUCUCUAAAUCUCUGAUUGCUGAUGAUGUGCAGGAUGGUUGAAAGAACAAAAAUGCCUGACUGUUUAGUACUGCUCAAAUUUGGGCAAAUAGUGUAGACCUGCACACCCUUUGAAUGGCACAGAGAAAACAUAUAGAAGUUUAUGGUCGUAUAUCGAGUUAUAUUACUGUGAGCAAUUGAAGAUUUGACCAUUUCUAUCAGUUAUGGGUUAGUGAGGACGAAUUGGGGCGUAAAUCCAGAUGAUUUUUAGUUGUAAGUAGCCAAGUAGGUUUAAGUCACCCGACUGUACGGGGCAACUGUUAUACUAACCCUCAGCAUGUUUAUGAAGAUUGAAGACACUUUACUUUUGUUGCGGUCAUGAAGUGUCAAAUGUUGCAUGCUGAAGCCUUUUUCUGUCUAAUAGAAUUAAUGCACCUCCCAUGUUCUAUUAAGAGGAAAAACGUAAGUAAUGGCAGCGCCCUUUCGUGGAUGAAAUGUUUACGCAGUCAAUCCUACAUUGAUAGCAAUGUUUUAAACUGUGUUAAAAAAAUCAAUGUUUUAAACUAUAUCUAAGAUAUGCUUGCUACUGUAUGUAUAAUUUAGCAAGCGGUUAAAUAUGUGCAAAGAGCUUUCCUAGGUUUUGUCUGGUGAAGAAUUGACAAGAAUGCACUAGAUUUGGUUUGCAAGUUCUGUACACAUUGUUUUCAUCACCUUGUGUUGUAGCGGCGAUAUUUGUGUGGUGGCAUGUAGUCAAAACAGAGGAAAGACUUUGCAGGAGAUAGAAAAUGAAGGUACCCUCUGCUCUUUCCUUUGACAAACCAUUCCAGAUGAUGAUCAUGUCAUAUUUUAUUUUGAUAAUCAAAGUGAAUUUCUGUGAAAUCAUGUGUUUGUGGCAACGGCAUUAUGAGACGGAGGGAGUAACACAUAAGGGGGCAUGGAGAAGGAAAUACAAAUUCUGCUCGUCUCCAAUUGUGUUUUGGGCAUGUCGUUUUGUAUUGAACACAAAUAUAUAAUCAGUUGUUUUUUCAAUGUUUAUCUUUCACCAUGUUAUUUUUGCAUUUUCACAUGAAAACUUUUGGGUGAGGAAACUAGAAACAGAGAUUUUUCAGUUCGAAGGCAAUGGUAUAACAACCGUGUGUUUUCAGAUUUUUCAAAUGAAUUUCACACUAUCGCUAGAGCAUCUUCAGUAAAAUGCAGCCCUGUUCAUUUAUCUUGACCAUUAAAAGUUGAAUACUCCUUCGGGUGAAAUAUUGAUGUCACCUACUUAUGGUGUGUGUCCUAUGUUCUGCUCUCACUAUACAACAAUAAGAAUAUUAUUCAAAUGGUUCACCACGGUUUCCUAUAUUUCAAUGCCUGCAGGUUUUCCAUUGGGAGAACAAGUUUCUAGAUACCUACAAUAUGAAUACUGAUUGUCUUGUUCUCUGUUUUUAUUGACAUUUUCAAUUAUGCAAUAUGAGUUUUUUUUGCGGGUAAUUGUGCGAUAUGAGUUGAUAUGAAUAAAAUAGCACAAGUAUUAUUGUUGACUAAUUAUUAAAGUACCUCCCUUCCAAGGAGCCCUUGAACAAAGAACAAGGGAAUUUCAGAGUCCUGGUUUCACUACCUCCGAGGAUGUGGGAGCCACCACCAGCAUUGCUUCGUUCUAGAACUAAAGGUCCAAGAUAUCACAGACUUCAGUGGCUAUAAGAACAACUAUAUCUCUAUUUCCACUAGCGGGUAAAUGCAACCUGAAUGAAGAACGCAAGCUCUACUUCCUCAAGCUAUAUGCUAGGUUGCAUAUAUAGAACAAAGCUUUGCGAGGCAGGUAUGGCCAACAGUGGCCUUUUGGUCGUGAUACCAGGUGUUGUCUCCCCCAGUUCCUAGAACAUCACUCCCAUCUACGACUGGUGGAUGGAGAUCGGGUUCCAAAGGAGGAGAAAGGGCAUUUUCGUGGGGUCACCUCAUACUUCACUUGGCGAAUUUGAAAAGAAUGGAACAGUCAUAUUUUUUUUGCACGACUACAGGGGAGUCAAGAUCAGAGAGUUAGUGAGGAUGAGGGAACAUGCCUUUGUUAGAG